rnacentral:rRNA from 1 species
CCUACGGGAGGCAGCAGUGGGGAAUAUUGCGCAAUGGGCGAAAGCCUGACGCAGCGACGCCGCGUGAGGGAUGAAGGUCUUCGGAUCGUAAACCUCUGUCAGCAGGGAAGAACGGUCACUGUGGUAAUCAGCAGUGAAUUGACGGUACCUGCAAAGGAAGCACCGGCUAACUCCGUGCCAGCCGCCGCGGUAAUACGGAGGGUGCGAGCGUUAAUCGGAAUUACUGGGCGUAAAGCGCUCGUAGGCGGUAUGUCAAGUCAAGGGUGAAAUCCCCGCGCUCAACGUGGGAACUGCCUUUGAAACUGGCAAACUGGAGUGUGUGAGAGGAUAGUGGAAUUCCAGGUGUAGGAGUGAAAUCCGGAGAUAUCUGGAUGAACAUCAGUGGCGAAGGCGACUAUCUGGCACAUAACUGACGCUGAGGAGCGAAAGCGUGGGUAGCAAACAGGAUUAGAUACCCCGGUAGUC